rnacentral:rRNA from 1 species
UACGUAGGGCGCGAGCGUUGUCCGGAAUUAUUGGGCGUAAAGAGCUCGUAGGCGGCCUGUUGCGUCCGCUGUGAAAUCCCAGGGCUCAACCCUGGGCGUGCAGUGGAUACGGGCAGGCUGGAGGCAGGCAGGGGAGAACGGAAUUCCCGGUGUAGCGGUGAAAUGCGCAGAUAUCGGAAAGAACACCAACGGCGAAAGCACUCUGCUGGGCCGACACUGACACUGAGAGACGAAAGCUAGGGGAGCGAAUGGG